AACCUCCGCAAUGUGAGAAAUCGCGACGGGGGGAUCCCAAGUGCCAUUCUUAACGGGAUGGCUUUUCAUUAGUGUAAAGAGCUUUUGGAAUAAGGGCUGGGCAAGACCGGUGCCAGCCGCCGCGGUAACACCGGCAGCUCUAGUGGUAACAAUUUUUAUUGGGCCUAAAGCGUCCGUAGCCGGUUUAAUAAGUCUCUGGUGAAAUCCUGUAGCUUAACUGUGGGAAUUGCUGGAGAUACUAUUAGACUUGAGACCGGGAGAGGUUAGAGGUACUCCCAGGGUAGAGGUGAAAUUCUGUAAUCCUGGGAGGACCGCCUGUUGCGAAGGCGUCCAACUGGAACGGUUCUGACGGUGAGGGACGAAAGUUAGGGGCGCGAACCGGAUUAGAUACCCGGGUAGUCCUAACUGUAAACGAUGCGGACUUGGUGUUGGGGUGGCUUUGAGCUGCUCCAGUGCCGAAGGGAAGCUGUUAAGUCCGCCGCCUGGGAAGUACGGUCGCAAGACUGAAACUUAAAGGAAUU
rnacentral:rRNA from 1 species